rnacentral:rRNA from 1 species
GGGUUGUGAGGUUAAGCGACUAAGCGUACACGGUGGAUGCCCUGGCAGUCAGAGGCGAUGAAGGGCGUGCUAAUCUGCGAUAAGCGCCGGUAAGGUGAUAUGAACCGUUAUAACCGGCGAUACCCGAAUGGGGAAACCCAGUGUGACUCGUCACACUAUCAUUAACUGAAUCCAUAGGUUAAUGAGGCGAACCGGGGGAACUGAAACAUCUAAGUACCCCGAGGAAAAGAAAUCAACCGAGAUUCCCCCAGUAGCGGCGAGCGAACGGGGAGGAGCCCAGAGCCUGAAUCAGCAUGUGUGUUAGUGGAAGCGUCUGGAAAGGCGCGCGAUACAGGGUGACAGCCCCGUACACAAAAGCGCAUGUGCUGUGAGCUCGAUGAGUAGGGCGGGACACGUGGUAUCCUGUCUGAAUAUGGGGGGACCAUCCUCCAAGGCUAAAUACUCCUGACUGACCGAUAGUGAACCAGUACCGUGAGGGAAAGGCGAAAAGAACCCCGGCGAGGGGAGUGAAAAAGAACCUGAAACCGUGUACGUACAAGCAGUGGGAGCACCCACCACCAAAGCAUUUGCUGUACCUUUUGUAUAAUGGGUCAGCGACUUAUAUUCUGUAGCAAGGUUAACCGAAUAGGGGAGCCGGAGGGAAACCGAGUCUUAAUUGGGCGUUAAGUUGCAGGGUAUAGACCCGAAACCCGGUGAUCUAGCCAUGGGCAGGUUGAAGGUUGGGUAACACUAACUGGAGGACCGAACCGACUAAUGUUGAAAAAUUAGCGGAUGACCUGUGGCUGGGGGUGAAAGGCCAAUCAAACCGGGAGAUAGCUGGUUCUCCCCGAAAGCUAUUUAGGUAGCGCCUCGUGAAUUCAUCUCCGGGGGUAGAGCACUGUUUCGGCUAGGGGGCCAUCCCGGCUUACCAACCCGAUGCAAACUGCGAAUACCGGAGAAUGUUAUCACGGGAGACACACGGCGGGUGCUAACGUCCGUCGUGAAGAGGGAAACAACCCAGACCGCCAGCUAAGGUCCCAAAGUCAUGGUUAAGUGGGAAACGAUGUGGGAAGGCCCAGACAGCCAGGAUGUUGGCUUAGAAGCAGCCAUCAUUUAAAGAAAGCGUAAUAGCUCACUGGUCGAGUCGGCCUGCGCGGAAGAUGUAACGGGGCUAAACCAUGCACCGAAGCUGCGGCAGCGACGCUUAUGCGUUGUUGGGUAGGGGAGCGUUCUGUAAGCCUGCGAAGGUGGCCUGUGAGGGUUGCUGGAGGUAUCAGAAGUGCGAAUGCUGACAUAAGUAACGAUAAAGCGGGUGAAAAGCCCGCUCGCCGGAAGACCAAGGGUUCCUGUCCAACGUUAAUCGGGGCAGGGUGAGUCGACCCCUAAGGCGAGGCCGAAAGGCGUAGUCGAUGGGAAACGGGUUAAUAUUCCCGUACUUGGUGUUACUGCGAAGGGGGGACGGAGAAGGCUAUGUUGGCCGGGCGACGGUUGUCCCGGUUUAAGCGUGUAGGUGUGUGUUCCAGGUAAAUCCGGUUCACUUUAACACUGAGGCGUGACGACGAGGCACUACGGUGCUGAAGCAACAAAUGCCCUGCUUCCAGGAAAAGCCUCUAAGCAUCAGGUAACAUCAAAUCGUACCCCAAACCGACACAGGUGGUCAGGUAGAGAAUACCAAGGCGCUUGAGAGAACUCGGGUGAAGGAACUAGGCAAAAUGGUGCCGUAACUUCGGGAGAAGGCACGCUGACACGUAGGUGAAGUGAUUUACUCAUGGAGCUGAAGUCAGUCGAAGAUACCAGCUGGCUGCAACUGUUUAUUAAAAACACAGCACUGUGCAAACACGAAAGUGGACGUAUACGGUGUGACGCCUGCCCGGUGCCGGAAGGUUAAUUGAUGGGGUCAGCGCAAGCGAAGCUCCUGAUCGAAGCCCCGGUAAACGGCGGCCGUAACUAUAACGGUCCUAAGGUAGCGAAAUUCCUUGUCGGGUAAGUUCCGACCUGCACGAAUGGCGUAAUGAUGGCCAGGCUGUCUCCACCCGAGACUCAGUGAAAUUGAACUCGCUGUGAAGAUGCAGUGUACCCGCGGCAAGACGGAAAGACCCCGUGAACCUUUACUAUAGCUUGACACUGAACAUUGAGCCUUGAUGUGUAGGAUAGGUGGGAGGCUUUGAAGUGUGGACGCCAGUCUGCAUGGAGCCGACCUUGAAAUACCACCCUUUAAUGUUUGAUGUUCUAACGUGGACCCGUUACCCGGGUUGCGGACAGUGUCUGGUGGGUAGUUUGACUGGGGCGGUCUCCUCCUAAAGAGUAACGGAGGAGCACGAAGGUUGGCUAAUCCUGGUCGGACAUCAGGAGGUUAGUGCAAUGGCAUAAGCCAGCUUGACUGCGAGCGUGACGGCGCGAGCAGGUGCGAAAGCAGGUCAUAGUGAUCCGGUGGUUCUGAAUGGAAGGGCCAUCGCUCAACGGAUAAAAGGUACUCCGGGGAUAACAGGCUGAUACCGCCCAAGAGUUCAUAUCGACGGCGGUGUUUGGCACCUCGAUGUCGGCUCAUCACAUCCUGGGGCUGAAGUAGGUCCCAAGGGUAUGGCUGUUCGCCAUUUAAAGUGGUACGCGAGCUGGGUUUAGAACGUCGUGAGACAGUUCGGUCCCUAUCUGCCGUGGGCGCUGGAGAACUGAGGGGGGCUGCUCCUAGUACGAGAGGACCGGAGUGGACGCAUCACUGGUGUUCGGGUUGUCAUGCCAAUGGCACUGCCCGGUAGCUAAAUGCGGAAGAGAUAAGUGCUGAAAGCAUCUAAGCACGAAACUUGCCCCGAGAUGAGUUCUCCCUGAGACUUAGAGUCUCCUGAAGGAACGUUGAAGACGACGACGUUGAUAGGCCGGGUGUGUAAGCGCAGCGAUGCGUUGAGCUAACCGGUACUAAUGAACCGUGAGGCUUAACCUUACAACGCCGAAG